GGCGACGGGUGAGUAACACGUGAGUAACCUGCCCUUCACUCUGGGAUAAGCCCGGGAAACUGGGUCUAAUACCGGAUAUGACCGUCCACCGCAUGGACUCGCGGCCUAUCAGCUUGUUGGUGAGGUAAUGGCUCACCAAGGCGACGACGGGUAGCCGGCCUGAGAGGGUGACCGGCCACACUGGGACUGAGACACGGCCCAGACUCCUACGGGAGGCAGCAGUGGGGAAUAUUGCACAAUGGGCGAAAGCCUGAUGCAGCGACGCCGCGUGAGGGAUGACGGCCUUCGGGUUGUAAACCUCUUUCAGCAGGGAAGAAGCGAAAGUGACGGUACCUGCAGAAGAAGCACCG
rnacentral:rRNA from 1 species